rnacentral:rRNA from 1 species
CCUACGGGUGGCAGCAGUGAGGAAUAUUGGUCAAUGGACGAGAGUCUGAACCAGCCAAGUAGCGUGAAGGCUGACUGCCCUAUGGGUUGUAAACUUCUUUUAUAUGGGAAUAAAACGUUCCACGUGUGGGAUUUUGUAUGUACCAUAUGAAUAAGGAUCGGCUAACUCCGUGCCAGCAGCCGCGGUAAUACGGAGGAUCCGAGCGUUAUCCGGAUUUAUUGGGUUUAAAGGGAGCGUAGGUGGAUUGUUAAGUCAGUUGUGAAAGUUUGCGGCUCAACCGUAAAAUUGCAGUUGAAACUGGCAGUCUUGAGUACAGUAGAGGUGGGCGGAAUUCGUGGUGUAGCGGUGAAAUGCUUAGAUAUCACGAAGAACUCCGAUUGCGAAGGCAGUUCACUGGACUGCAACUGACACUGAGGCUCGAAAGUGUGGGUAUCAAACAGGAGUAGAUACCCUGGUAGUC